GCCCCUUUAGCUCAGUCGGUAGAGCGUACGUCUCAUAAACCAAUCAAAAACGCAGAGCCAGCGUAAGGUCAGCAGUUCGAUCCUGUUAGGGGGACA